ensembl:lncRNA
GUUUUUUAAAAUUUAGAUGCAGUGCCUUGAGAAAGUAUUCACCCCUUGGUGUGUUUCCUAUUUUGCCACAUUAUAACCUGGAAUUAAAAUGGAUUUUCAGGGGGGCUGAUUUGGAGAUGGUCGCAGGGAAGGAACCGCGUGUCGCUGAAAUUUAUCACUGCACAAGGGGCUCACACCAGCAAAGGUUUACGAACAGAUUCUGGACUAAAGAGGUGGACCGCUUGCUCUAUGGCAUGACACUACAUCUCCAAAAACCCUCUUCUCAGCCCCAUCUUGGAGUACGAAGUCUCCAGCCUGAGCAACACCCUGACAACCACUACAGGCAGGAGCACACUUAACAGAAUACAUGCCAUAACGCAUCUGAAUGAUCCUGCAAAAAUUAAGUCUAGAAUAUAGCUAAAAUGGGAAUUUUUUUUUUUUUUUUUUUUUUUUUUUUUUUUUUAAAUUAACCACCCUCACUUCCUUCUUUGCCUUAUCCCGAGCUGUAACUAGAAACGGUAACAUUAGAACGAGCAUGUUAAUCCAAACCGGUCAUUUGCAGCUGCACUACUGUCAGAGCUGCUGUUAUUGAAACCAAAAUCAACACCUGAACAGGAGAAUCCAUCAGGAGAGCAGUCCACAAAACCAGAACCGGAAACUCAGAGGAUGGAAGAGCGCUAGGGCGAGAAAUAGAUCUGUGGCAGAGGAAGAGGAACAGUUAGACGAACAAAAGAGGAUUAGAGAAGACAUGUGAGGACACUGGAAUCUUCGGGAAGCGAGAGAGGAGAAGAACAACGAGGACGUGAGCGAGUUCAGGCCGUCAAGUAGAGGAGAAGUCAAAUCCAUCUUCAGCCCCCUUAGAAAGCCACGAGCCCUGGCAGCAGCCAGACCUCUCCUGCAUCAAAGACGUCCUGAAGCCCAUAGAGAAGAGUCACGGCUUGGUGAGAUGCAGCCUGAGACACUGCAGGAACGUGGACGUCCUGGCCGAAGGUUUCAUCUUCUUGAAAAGCGGCGUCCGUGAUUUCAGGGUCUUUAACGAGUGGCCGAUGAUGUGCUGUGAGCUCACAGAGUUCAGAUGAGU